CCCACAUUGAAAAGCAAAUAUGUGGGGACAGACUGUCGAUCCUGAUCACUAAAAAAAGCCUAGGCUUCAAACAAACGUUGAGGGGAAUUUAAUUUCAUUGGAAGCAAGGAAUGUAAAUCCAUCCCAUUCUUGGUUCCAUUUCCCAUGCUAUAAAUAGAGCAUACCAGAUUACAACAAGAAGCACAAAGCCCUCCCACAUACUCUCUCUCUCUCUCUCUCUCUCUCUCUCUCUCUCUCUCUCUAAAAACAUUAUAGCUACAAUUCCCUCUCUCUGCUAAAAAUGGCUGGCAAACUGAUACUACCGGGGAGCAACCCUUCCACGCAGCAACUUAUCAAGGGUGACCGGAGCAUGUUCAUGACGUCCGACGACAACGUGAUGCUGAAGCAGAUCCAGGCCACCCACAAUCCCGAUGGCCGCGACAUUGACGUAAAACCCAUUCUCAACAUCGUCGAGGAUAUCCUCAGUCGUGCCACUAUGACCGUCGAUAGCAUUCUCCCGGGCGUCAUCCACGGACAUGCACAGAGCGUGGAGGACAAAGCUCAGCAAACCAGCGCCGUUGCCAUGCUUGACGCGCUAUCGUAUAUAAUCGAUCGAAUUUCCUGCGAGAUAGCAUACAAGAGUUUCGGUGGUGAAGACGGACACCAAACAACAGUCUCUCUGCUAAACAUGCUGUCAAACUACUCAUGGGAUGCUAAGCUGGUGCUGACCCUAGCAGCCUUUGCACUACACUACGGCGAGUUCUGGCUCCUGGCACAAAUCUACUCGUCAAACCAGCUCGCCAAAGCGAUGGCGAUCCUCAAGCAACUACCGAUCAUCAUGGAGCAUUCGGGCCCAUUGAAACCCAAGUUUGACGCCCUUAACAAUCUCAUCAGGGUCAUGUUGGAUUUGACCAGGUGCAUCGUCGCUUUCAAGGAGCUGCCUUCUGCUUAUUUUACUCAUGAUGUGCCGGCAUUGGCUGCAGCUGCGAAUACCAUUCCAACUGCCGUUUAUUGGGCCAUGAGAGGAGUCGUGGCUUGCGCGGCUCAGAUCAGUAGCCUCACUAGCAUUGGCCAUGAGUAUGGGACAUCCACCAUGGAGGCAUGGGAACUAUCUACCUUGGCUCACAAAAUAAACAACAUUUAUGAGCAUCUCUCGAAGCAAUUGAACAUUUGCAACCAACUCUUAGAGGAGAGGAGGAAUAACGAAUCUUACGAUGCGCUGCGGAAUAUCUUUGAAAUGAUCCAUAUCGAUAACAUGAAAGUUCUCAAGGCCCUGAUUUAUGCCAGGGAUGAUCAGCCACCACUCUUUGAUGGCUCUACCAAGAGAAGGGUUAAUCUCGAAGUUCUGAGGAGGAAGAAUGUGCUACUCCUAAUAUCAAGCCUAGACAUCUCCCCAGACGAGCUAUCGAUUCUGGAACAAAUCUACAACGAGUCCCGACAACACGCGACAAGGCUGGACAACCUCUACGAGGUGGUUUGGAUCCCGAUUGUGGACCGCAGGGUGCAGCAGUGGACAGACCCGAUGCAGAAACAGUUUGAGAGCCUGCAAUCCACCAUGCCGUGGUACUCGGUGCACCACCCUUCUCUGAUCGAUCGGGCGGUGAUCAGAUUCGUGAAGGAGAGGUGGCAUUUCCGCAACAAGCCUAUCCUCGUGGUGCUGGACCCGCAGGGGAGGGUGGUGAGCCCCAAUGCCAUACACAUGAUGUGGAUCUGGGGGAGCAAUGCUUUCCCCUUCACUAGCUUGAGAGAGGAGAAUUUGUGGAAGGAGGAGACUUGGAAGCUUGAGUUGCUUGUGAAUGGGAUUGACCAAACAGUUCUGAAUUGGAUAAGGGAUGAGAAAUACAUUUUCGUGUACGGAGGGGAUGACAUCGAGUGGAUCCGAAGAUUCACCACAACAGCACGAUCCGUGGCGCAAUCUGCUCGUAUCCCUCUAGAGAUGGUCUACGUGGGAAAGAGCAGCAAGAAAGAACAAGUCCGGAAAAUCGUCGCCACCAUCACAAACGAGAAGCUCAGCCACACAUGGCAAGACCUCAUGAUAUGGUUCUUCUGGACUCGACUGGAGAGCAUGCUGUUUUCCAAGAUCCAGCUCGGGAGGCUCGACGACCAGGACCCCAUGAUGCAGGAAAUCAAGAAAUUGCUCAGCUACGACAAGAGCGGAGGCUGGGCCGUGCUGAGCCGAGGGGCGGAAGUUGUGGUGAACGGACACGGGACCAAGGUGAUGCCAACCCUGCUGGAGUACGACUUGUGGAAGGAACACGUGGCCACUAAAGGGUUUGACCGAUCGUUCAAGGAUCAUCAUGACAUGCUUCAUGGGACUGAGCACCCGUGUUGCCGGUUUGAGUUUCUGAGCACGGCCGGUACCGGGAGGAUACCGGAGGGCAUGAAGUGCCCGGAGUGCCUCCGCGCUAUGGAGAAGUACAUCACUUUUUGCUGCUGCCACGAUGAAAAUCCCAGUACUGCAGCAUUCUACUGAAGGUUCAAGCUAGGUGCUUGAUAUAUAUGGUACUCAAUAAUGGAGUGUGUUUUAUUUUUUGUUUUCCUCUAUGGAAUAAGGAAGGUUUGAUGUCAAAUAAUGUGACGUUUAGGUCACAAUUGUGGACUUUGACGAGGUUGGUCCUCUUAUAUAUAUGCUUGUAUAAAUAAGAGCCAUUUUCACGUGGUUUUAUAUAUGAAAUAAACUGCAAAUGUUUUGAGUGCUUUAA